rnacentral:rRNA from 1 species
CCCUUAGAUGUUCUGGGCCGCACGCGCGCUACACUGAUGCAUUCAACGAGUCUAAAACCUGGUCUGAUAGGGCUGGGUAAUCUUUUGAAAGUGCAUCGUGAUUGGGAUAGAUGAUUGCAAUUCUUCAUCUUCAACGAGGAAUGCCUAGUAAACGCAAGUCAUCAGUUUGCAUUGAUUACGUCCCUGCCCUUUGUACACACCGCCCGUCGCUCCUACCGAUUGAAUGAUCCGAUGAAUACCAUGGAUUGAGAGUACGAAUGGGUUCGCUCAUUUCUGCUGCUCGAGAAGUGGAGUAAAUCUUAUCAUUUAGAGGAAGGAGAAGUCGUAACA